rnacentral:sRNA from 1 species
UCCGUAGGUGAACCUGCGGAAGGAUCAUUAAUAGUGCCCUCUGAUGCAAAUCAUUGGGUUAGAUCUGCUCUCUUCGCGAGAAGAGGGUUUCCAUACACACCGUGAACUGUGGCUUCGGCCAUCACAAACUGUUAGUAAUGAAUGUAAUAUCAUAACAAAAACAAAACUUUUAACAACGGAUCUCUUGGCUCUCGCAUCGAUGAAGAACGCAGCGAAAUGCGAUAAGUAAUGUGAAUUGCAGAAUUCAGUGAAUCAUCGAAUCUUUGAACGCACCUUGCGCCCUUUGGUAUUCCGAAGGGCAUGCCUGUUUGAGUGUCAUGAAGCCUCACCCCACUUGGGUUUUUGCCUGAGCGGUGGUGUAUUGGGUGUUGCCUUGCUAAAGGCUCGCCUUAAAGACAUAAGCACCUUGGAUGUAAUACGUUUCAUCCUUCUGGGUGGCUGAUAACCCCACAUAUUCAUGAUCUGGCCUCAAAUCAGGUAGGGCUACCCGCUGAACUUAAGCAUAUCAAUAAGCGGAGGAAAAGAAACUAACUAGGAUUCCCUUAGUAACGGCGAGUGAACCGGGAUGAGCUCAAAUUUAAAAUCUGGCGUCUUUCAGGCGUCCGAGUUGUAAUCUAUAGAGGCGUUUUCCGCGCCGGACCGCGUCCAAGUCUCUUGGAAUAGAGUAUCAAAGAGGGUGACAAUCCCGUACUUGACGCGACAACCGGUGCUCUGUGAUACGUUCUCAAUGAGUCGAGUUGUUUGGGAAUGCAGCUCUAAAUGGGUGGUAAAUUCCAUCUAAGGCUAAAUAUUGGCGAGAGACCGAUAGCGAACAAGUACCGUGAGGGAAAGAUGAAAAGCACUUUGGAAAGAGAGUUAAACAGCACGUGAAAUUGUUAAAAGGGAAACGCUUGAAGU